AUGAAACCUGUAAAGGCCAGUGACCCCAUUGAUGUGUUAAACAUCAAAAUGAAGAGAUUCAAAAAGUUUUUCAAAGGGUGGGGAUCCAACUUGUUUGGAAAAUCUAGAAAAAGAAGGAGUGACCUUAGGGUGGAACUUGAACAUCUAGAAAAAUUAGAAGAAACUGAUGUGCUCUCCCCCGAACUAUACGGCAAGAAAGUGGAUAUUUUGGUGGAACUCCAUGAUUUACUUGUGGAAGAAGAGAUCACAUGGAUGCAAAAAUCACAUGCAAAUUGGUUGUUGAAAGGGGAUAGAAAUACUGAAUAUUUCCACAGAAUUGUGAAUGGUAGAAGAAGGAGAAAUACUAUUUUCUCACUUAGUCGUGGAGAUGAGGUGAUUGAGGGGAGUAGUAACUUGUUGAAGCAUGCAACUGAGUUUUAUAAAGAACUGUUUGGGCCUGCAUCUGGGGAUUUGUGCAGACUUAAAGAAAAUAUGUGGGAGCCAAAUGAAAAGUUGUCAAAUAUCGAC
rnacentral:rRNA from 1 species